rnacentral:rRNA from 1 species
CCUACGGGAGGCAGCAGUGGGGAAUAUUGCACAAUGGGGGAAACCCUGAUGCAGCGACGCCGCGUGAGUUAAGAAGUAUUUCGGUAUGUAAAGCUCUAUCAGCAGGAACGAGACAAGACGGUACCUGACUAAGAAGCCCCGGCUAACUGCGUGCCAGCAGCCGCGGUAAUACGUAGGGGGCAAGCGUUAUCCGGAAUCACUGGGUGUAAAGGGAGCGUAGACGGCUGUGCAAGCCUGAAGUGAAAGGAGGGGGCCCAACCCCUGGACUGCUUUGGGAACUGUACGGCUGGAGUGCAGGAGAGGUAAGUGGAAUUCCUAGUGUAGCGGUGAAAUGCGUAGAUAUUAGGAGGAACACCAGUGGCGAAGGCGGCUUACUGGACUGUAACUGACGUUGAGGCUCGAAAGCGUGGGGAGCAAACAGGAUUAGAUACCCCUGUAGUC